AGAAGUGCAGACUGAUGGAUAUGUCUGUUCAAGCAGUGAGUCUUAGUGGGAGUCAAAUGCUUCUACUUUCAAGGACAAGCUGUGAUGAGGAGGGAAAUAAUAGUACCGAAGCUUCUGAUGUCACACUGCCAAGAAAAGCUUCUAGUGAGAAAACAAUGGCCCGUACCGCAAACCGACACAGGUAGUCGAGGAGAGCAUCCUAAGGUGAGCGAGAG
rnacentral:rRNA from 1 species